UGUUAACCCUACCCGCACACACUGUCGACGGUCAUCCCUUCCAUCAUUCCUCCACUUCUCCACUUCUUCUCCAAUAGCUCUUCGGCUAUUUCUCUUCGGACGAGAGCUUCACCUUAUUCCUAUUCGGCCGUUUCUUCUUUGGUUCCAUCAGUUUCAACACAGAAUCGUUCUCAGCAAAUUUUUGGCUUGUUCUCGGCAGAUCCGACUCGUUCUCCAGCAGCUCGUUCACUACAGACUUAUUUUCUACAAACUAAGGAAAAUUAACCCAUUCAGCUACUCAAUUUGGGAAAGCAAUCCUUUGAGCAGUUCGAAUCUCCUGCAUGGUAGAGAAGAAGAAGAAAGAUGGGAGAGAAAAAGGUUUUGAACAAGCUAU
rnacentral:misc_RNA from 1 species